UUCUCCUAAAGGAAAACAUGCCUCUAUGUAAGAGAUUAAGUAAUUGAUGUUAUCUGCUCCUAAAUUGCUUUAGCUUUGCUUCAAAAUAAAAAUUCAAACAAUAUUGCUUGUUUGGAGCUUCUGCAAGUGUAAGAGCUGAAAUUUAUGCAAUAAAACUACCUAAAAUCUACCUAUAUCAAAGCUGUAUGAAAUAAGAGCUUUUAAAGCUCCACGCGUAAGGAUCCUUAGGAAAAAAAACCUAUAUCCCUACGUAACAAAAGCAUUCAAAUUAGCUUGCUCGCUCUGAGGCAGAGCAAAAUGAAUGCUUAAGAAUGUAUCAGGUUAGUGUAUUCAGGGCUAUGAAAGCAGGGUGUAAGUCUGUGGUUUUGGGCUCUCCCGUCUAUUGACCAUUCCCUGCCCCUUUUUAGGGCAUGGCAGGAAAAAAGAGAAGCACUGCUGGGAAUCACGGCCACUUGUCAAUCUGCAGCUAUAGCAAAUAGCAACAGAAAGCUACUCAAGUUUUAGUACUUUUUUCUUAUAUAUAAAAGGAUUCAUUUCCUCCUGCUGUAUUCCAGCAGAUGACCCAUCUCCAUGCUCAUAAGACCUCAGAACACUCCAAAAUCCACUCUCUAUAAAAUAAAAAAUUCUACUGAUUCUAGAACUCGUGAGGAGAGCUGACGGCCCAGCACAGCUCGCACACUUCCCAAGACCAGAACCGCCUCAAGCGCGGCCUCCACAGCACGAAGCCGCCUCAGCACUCACCGCGCCUCACGCACAGCCCGUGCUCGCUAACGGCGCUCAGCGACGGGCUUCAGAGCGAGCCCCACCCACCGCGGCUAGGAGACCCGCAUCACUUACACCAAGCCCGCCUCCAGCCCCGCCUGCCCAACUGCCUGUGAAACGCCCACCCUCUUCGGGUCCGCUCUUCCAGUUCGCCUAACGAUUUGCUCGUGGUGCUGUCAAUCAUUUUGUUCUUCCGCUUGAUUGGCCACAACAAAGUACGUCGUCAUCUUUAUUACUGUGCAGUACAGUGUCACCUAUGCUAUUGGAUUACCUGUCUGGGUGCUGUUUGUCUAACAAGACCUGGAUGAUGUGGAAGUCUAUAAAUUUUCAGCUGAAGAAAUGGAGAUAGCAUAUUAAGAAAGGAAAAAAUAAUUAAGAAUAAAACAACCAAAAAGGAAGUGAGCAGAGGUUGGUGGCAUAAUAUUUACUGAAAUUAUAUAUUUUUAAGUUCUUUCUAGUCUAAAUGUUUUCAUAUGUCUUGUCUUUCUGUGAAAGCACAAACGUAUCUGUCUUCUGAUCUUUUUCUUAUAUAUGUUUAGGCUUCCAACCAGAGCCAUUCUAUGAUAUGUAGAGAAUAUUUACAACAUAAUAACUUCUUCAAAAUUAUGACUUGUUCUUCUCUAUUUGCUAACAGGAUGGCACACAGAGCUAGCCAUAUUUAGUGUUACCUUUGGGUGAUCCUUGAGAUUAGUGUUGUCACUGAACUCUGUAUUUAUCUAAAUGUGAGAAAUAUUUCAUGAAGCUGAUUUAAUGUUUUUUCUUUUUUUUCUAUUUGAAAUCUGUCUUUUAUAAUGCCUGAAAACUGAUUUCUCUUCAUGAGAAGACUGUCAUCUGAAUUCCCUUCUGUAUCUCAUCUAUUCUGUUCCUAAUAUGUUUCAGACCAUUAAAAUUCAGUUUGUUUGCUUGUUCUUCUCAAUAAAGACAAGUUAUAUAAAGAAUGUCAGAUUUAUUGGAAAAGAACUCUGAAGGAACAUCUCAGUUACUGGCAAAGGACAAUUAGUGGAAAAAGUAUUUUUAACAAAUGACAGUAUAUGACUUUCAAAUCCCAGUAUUUUGUCACUUGGGAGUUAUUAAAGUUCUAUGAAACUUCAUAUUUCUGUUAGCACACACACAUACAUAUAUAUAAAUACUGAAUACAGUGUCAGCAUAUGGCUAUUAUACCUUUUUGAAAUUAAUCUGUAUGUGUUAGUUUCUACCAAGAAAGGUUAAAUCUCUUCAUGAUUGGAUUACCAGCUGAGUCAGCACUAUGUGAAAUCAACUAGAAGAUUUUAAGCUGUAACAUUGUUUUUCCUUAUCGUUACAGAGCAGCCUUUCUGCAGAUGCAUUUGUUUUUAUUCUUUAGACUUGGAAACUGUUUUCUCCCAGUGAAUAAUUUCAUUGCUUUUUCUGCAUUACAGUAUAGAAAUUAGUACAGUUCUUAAGUUUCCAAGAGUACUAUAAUGUGGAAUGGCAGAUAUGAUAUUGUAGUCUGACUUUGCUUCAGCUGAGCAGAAUAAAGAACAGCACAUGGCUCUCAUUGCAGAGGUGGGAAGAUGUUCUACAUGUUAAUCACUUAUUUUUAAAUGCAGAAGUUCUCACAGCUGUAAAAAGGCUUUAAAGGAGUGCUUGGGUUCCACUAAACCUCUAGCUCAGCUGUAGCUUCAGCCGUAAGUCAUUUUUCUAGUCUGCUUGAAGAUGAAUAGACUCCUCUUGUAUCCCUUGCUUUUUUAAGAUGAGAAUCCAUAUUCAUGUGCAAUUAAUGUAUCUGAGCAUAAGGUGUGAUCUUUUAGGUUCACAACAAUAUAGGAAAAGAAUAUAGACUUCAGGUCGAUAUGAAUAGAGACUUAUGUGGCUGGUAGUCAAACACAAUUUCAGAUUUAAUUGGCUAAAAGUGGACUAGGAGAAGUUAAGUGUACUGUAACUUGUUUAUACACUGUGUUGUUCCAUCUGUCCCGCUACAGAUUCAUGUUUAAAACAAACAAAAAAUAUAAAAUGCAGAGAAUUUCUACAAGUCAUUUCCACAAAAGUUUGUGAAAGUAUAGCUUAAGAGAUUUAAUUCCUCAGUUCCUUUAGUCUGUGAGUGGCUAAUAAAGCACUAAAGUGGCUAAUAAAGGUCUAAAUGCAACUUAGACCUCAGGAAGUUCCAGAAGUUUUCCUGGAAACUGAGAGAAGUUAUGUUGGUAGGACUUCUCUUUGUUUGCUACAGUUUUGAUAUUCUUCAUUAAGCAUCUGCUACCUGACACUGCUGGAGAAAGGAGAGUAGACUUAAGAACAGGAAUCAAACAAAAAGUUGCUUCUAAUGAGCUUUGUACAGUCAAAGUUGUUAAACGUUUUAGAUACCUAACUUUAAGUAAGUUUCAGCUGAAGGAAAUGCUUAGGCUUUUAUUUAUUUACUGUUUUCCUUUGGUCUAAUUUAUGUGUUUGUUUUUCUGUUUUUUUUUUUUUUCAUGGGAAGCUGAAUUAUAUUUCUGCCUACUGCAUUUUAAUUUAUUUAUAAUUACAGCUAUCAUUGUCAGUGGAGCAGCAAAAUUAUAAAAUAGAACAUAACUUUGAAUAAGAAAAUCAAAACCAAUAUGAGAUACGAGCUAGUAUCAAAAAACAUUUGACAGAAGACUGUAUGAAAAUUGAUCCUGCAAAGCUAUUAUUUUGAUUUUUUAAUUAUUAUUAUUUAGGUGGGUGUCAUCAGUUUGUAUUUUAAAAAUAUUGUUGUUAAUAACUCUAAAUUUGUUAUAGAUACUCUGUGAUCUAGAUUAACCCAGUAGUCAUGUUCAAAUUUCACUUAAGUUUAACAAUGAAAAUGGGCAAGAAAAUAAUUUGAACUUUUCUGUGGUCAGAAUUUGUUACAUUUCUGUAAUACUUGUAUUGCAGAAAUGUAUUGUAUGCUGUCAGAGUCUAAGCUGCUUGUUUUUAUGUUUUUACAAAAUUGAUAUUCUGCAACAAAGUUUCUACAAUGUCUGUUUGUUACCCCAGCACCUAUCUGAGAGGGUGGUUUUUUUUUUUUGUUUUUUGUUUUUUUUUUGUU